UACGAGGGGGGGCAAGCGUUGUUCGGAAUUAUUGGGCGUAAAGGGCGGGUAGGCGGCCACCGCAAGUCAGUUGUGAAAUCUCUGGGCUUAACCCAGAAAGGUCAACUGAUACUGCGGGGCUAGAGUGCAGAAGGGGCAACUGGAAUUCUCGGUGUAGCGGUGAAAUGCGUAGAUAUCGAGAGGAACACCUGCGGCGAAGGCGGGUUGCUGGGCUGACACUGACGCUGAACUGCGAAAGCUAGGGGAGCGAACGGG
rnacentral:rRNA from 1 species